CUUAAGCAUAUCAAUAAGCGGAGGAAAAGAAACCAACAGGGAUUACCUUAGUAACGGCGAGUGAAGCGGUAAUAGCUCAAAUUUGAAAUCUUACUCUUUCAGAGUACGAAUUGUAAUUUGUAGAGGAUGUUUUUGAGUAAUAUCAAUCUAAGUUUCUUGGAACAGAACGUCAUAGAGGGUGAGAAUCCCGUAUGUGAUUGAUUAAUUCUCUACACAAAACUCCUUCGAAGAGUCGAGUUGUUUGGGAAUGCAGCUCUAAAUGGGAGGUAAAUUUCUUCUAAAGCUAAAUAUUUGCCAGAGACCGAUAGCGCACAAGUAGAGUGAUCGAAAGAUGAAAAGCACUUUGAAAAGAGAGUUAAAAAGCACGUGAAAUUGUUGAAAGGGAAGCGUUUGAGAUUAGACUUGUUAACAGUAUUCGCUUGGUUCUUGAACUGAGUUAUUUGCUGUUUGCAGGCCAACAUCAUUUUCGUCUAUCGGAUAAUUGCUUAAGAAUGUAGCUCCUCGGAGUAUUAUAGCUUAAGUCGAUACGAUAAGAUGGGAGUGAGGUCCGCGAGAAAUCUAGGAUGUUGGCGUAAUGAUCUUAAACGGCCCGUCUUGAAACACGGACCAAGGAGUCGAUCAAUUAUGCGAGUUUUCGGGUGUCAAACCCUUAAGCGUAAUGAAAGUGAACGGAGGUGAGAGCUUAGGCGCAUCAUCGACCGAUCCUGAUGUCUUCGGAUGGAUUUGAGUAAGAGCAUAAUUGAUCGGACCCGAAAGAUGGUGAACUAUGCGUGAAUAGGGUGAAGCCAGAGGAAACUCUGGUGGAGGCUCGCAGCGGUUCUGACGUGCAAAUCGAUCGUCAAAUUUGCGUAUAGGGGCGAAAGACUAAUCGAACCAUCAAUUGGCCU
rnacentral:rRNA from 1 species